rnacentral:rRNA from 1 species
UACGUAGGGUGCAAGCGUUGUCCGGAAUUAUUGGGCGUAAAGAGCUCGUAGGCGGUUCGUCGCGUCGGCUGUGAAAUCCCAAGGCUCAACCUCGGGUCUGCAGUCGAUACGGGCGGACUAGAGUUCGGCAGGGGAGACUGGAAUUCCUGGUGUAGCGGUGGAAUGCGUAGAGAUCCGGAAGAACACCGGUGGCGAAGGCGGUCUGCUGGGGUCGAACUGACGCUGAGGCGCGACAGCGUGGGGAGCAAACAGG